AAAUGCCUCAAUCGCCCACGAGUUUGUUGACGUUUUCCCAAUGACAAGGAUAAUUCCUGAUUUUUGUCCUGAAGAUACCAACACCAUCAAAUUGCCAUCGCAACCACUGAGCCAACGAUUUUUAUAACUAAACCUUGCAUUGCUCUAUCUGUGACUGAGCUAUAAAGAUCGCAACUCUUGGGUGUUGUUUAUGUCUGAAUCAAGAUGGCGACGAUCAGCUGGACUGCAAUAGACGCAGAGCUCAACAGCGACACGUGGCGUAUGUUAUAAGCACUGAGAUUCCUCAAUGACUGCUGGGGUCGGUGGAUUCAAAACUCCACUAUCAAACUGAUUGGAGGGAGAGAAACCAAUAAAGAGCCAUACAGAAGAAUCACAUGGGAUUGAUCAGUGAUGGCCAAAGUCCAGAGCACCUGUGUUUGUGGAGCCCCAUUCUUGUGCUGUCCGAAUAGCUGAAGUGAUCACACGAGAUGAACUAGCAUGAAAUGAAUGGCACAAUCUUUGCAUAGUUGGAAAGAAUCGUCACAUGGGGACCAGAACGCAGCCCAGGCAAACGCUUGAACAGCCAUGGAAAUACAUCAUACAGCUAAGAGAAAAAGGAGACAUAAUUAUUUAUGCUGCAGUAGUUUAUGUGUCGGGGGGGCUAGGGUUAGUCUG